rnacentral:lncRNA from 1 species
GAUGGUUUUAACAGUCUUUCUCUCUUUCCCCUUUUAACAAAACUCCGUGGAGACCGCUUGCUCUUGCCCCGGGGGUCUGGAGCAAUAGUGUGUGGGGCUCGCUCCGGCCGUGCUUUAUUUUUCAACAGCCACUUUGUUGCUUUCACUGUUGGCCGUCAUCUGCUCAGCAGCCUCCUUAUUUCCUCCUGGUAGACCCCUGAGACAGACACCUACACGGCCUCCAACUUCCCGCCUCAAGAACAUCCUUAUCUGGUGCAAAACUUUCAGUGAACAGAAAAGCGUGGAAGAGAAUACCAGGUUCCCCCAACUUAACGCGGACCCAGUUCUGGCUGAAACAAGAGGGGACGUCUAUGUGUCUCUGCUGGUGGACAGCCUGGGGACCCCGGGUCCACUGCCCCUUGCUCCACCAUCCUCUAGAGCAACGUCUCCAGGGACACUUGGCUGUGUCUGGAGACACCUCGGUUGUCACACCUGGGGAGGGUGGGCUACUGGCAUCUAGUGGGUGGUGGCCAGGGACGCUGCUCAAUAGCCUACAAGGCAGGGGACGGCCCGUGACAAAGAACGGUUGGGCCCUCAAUGGCAAUGGUGCUGUCUGCCCUGGGAGCGUCCCCACGCCUCUCCUUCAGGAACGACUGGUGAAGAGACCCCGAGAGUCGUCCUGUGGUGCAUCUGACCCUCCGGCUUUGUCCUUUGACUCGUUUCUCUCCUCCUUCCCUUUCCUGCAAACUGGAGGUUCUGCUGAGAGGCCUGAUCAGGAGUCAGGGUGAAGGUUUUCGCAGGCUGCGUCCUCGGGGCCGCUGUGAACUUCCUUCCGCCUCCUGUCAAGGGGCCCACGAGGCUCACAGGUUCCACCCCGGUGUCGGCUUCACUGCAGCCCGUGCUGCCGGCAGUGUGUCCUCGGUGGCAAAGUCGGCUCCCUGACUCCCACCCCGAGCCCUCUGGCGCCCUGAGCGUGUCCUGUUUCCCCUCAUGCUCUGAUCGCCGCCUAAGUUGUUUCACUGACUUUUUUGCAAAAUGGAGACUUUUCGAAUUCUCUCAUUUCUUCCGCCUUUUCUUAGCUGGCAUUCCUCUUGGGCUGCUUUGUGACUGCGAAACACAGCUACUGCCGGGAAGGCGAGACCGGGCUUAAUGCCUCACUUUGAAUUACCAGCAUCUCCAGGAAGGAGCUGGCUGAGAGCGCUUCCAACGGCAUAAUCGACGUGUGUGAGUUUAACUUUCACACUGAGGCACACCCCACAGCGAGCGCGCAGAUCUCGAAUGGAGAGCUCAGGGAAUUUCUGCAUCUAUUUGCCCAAGAAACCGCCACCAGACAAACACAGACCAUUUCCAGCCCCACAAAGGACUUCCGGGUUUGGCUGUGCCCAGCGUGGGGUUCAGGGGCUUCAGGAAGACAUGGAAACAGCCAGAUGUUUGUUCCUGCUCCCAGGCCUUUGCCUCUGGAGUUCCUCCACCUUGGUUUUGUGGGGUUGCUUCUCCUCCCAGCUCAGGCCCGCCCGCAUGUCCUCU